UGACCUCAGUUCGGCCGGGAGCACCCGCUGAAGUUAAGCAUAUCAAUAAGCGGAGG
rnacentral:rRNA from 1 species